UACAGAGGAGCCAAGCGUUGUCCGGAUUGACUGGGCGUAAAGCGCACGCAGGCGGAUGCGCGCGUGGGGUGUGAAAUCUGGCCGCUUAACGGCCAGGCGCCAUCCCAUACGGCGCGUCUGGAGUGAUGCAGAGGUCGAUGGAAUUGCCGGUGUAGUGGUGAAAUGCGUAGAGAUCCGGAAGAACACCGGUGGCGAAGGCGGUCUGCUGGGCAGUUGCUGACACUGAGGCGCGACAGCGUGGGGAGCAAACAGG
rnacentral:rRNA from 1 species